rnacentral:tRNA from 1 species
GUGUAGCUUAGUGGCAAAGUGCUUGCCUAGCAUGCAUGAGGCUCUGGGUUUGAUCCUCAGCAC